rnacentral:rRNA from 1 species
AUGGCUAGAAAGGAUCUGUCUUCUCGCCGGCGCCGGCUCCCCCUCCGGCGGCCGCGCGAUGAGGACCGCCUCAAUGCCCUCUCCGACGACCUGAUCCUCCAGAUCCUGGGCCGUCUCGACACCCGCAGCGCGCUCGGCGCCGCCGCGCUCUGCAGGCGCUUGGCCCACCUCCCUCGCGAGCUCCCCGCCCUGGAUCUCAAGGUCAGCGACGCGCUCCCGCCGCGCUACCGGCGGUGGCUCGACCUCCUCAACGAGGCAGUCACAUCGGACGCGCUACGCGGGUGUAGCCGGAGGCUACGCCCCAUCAUCGGGCGGUACGAGCGCCGCGCCAUGCGCGCCAUGGUCAGCUCCGUCAGGAGCCUCAGAGCCCGCCGCCACCGGCGUGCGUGCAGCAGGCUGUCGCUCGAGUUCUUCGCCUUCAGCACCUCCGCCAGCAUCAACCGCUUGGUCGUGGACGCCGUCGAUUCCUGGGGUGUCGAGGAUCUGGAGGUCGUUGCCAAGUCGACGGAGCCGAUCACACAUCUUCGUCCGGUCUACACGUUCCCCCGUGGUCGUAUCAGCAGGAAGCCCGGCGAGUCCCGCCUUCGAAGCCUCAAGCUCGUCAAUUGCUUGCCCCCGCCGCUGGAUGGCUUCACCGCGCUCACCACGCUGCUGCUGCGGGACCUGCCCUGCUCUACGCCGGCGGCCGUCUACGAGGGCGUGGUCGCUGCGUGCCCGCAGCUGCGGGUUCUGCAUCUCGUCGCCUGCUCCUUCGACAAGGAUACGGCCCGUUGGCUGGUGUUCGACGCGCCCAUGUAA